GACGAACGCUGGCGGCGUGCUUAACACAUGCAAGUCGAACGGAAAGGCCCUGCUUUUGUGGGGUGCUCGAGUGGCGAACGGGUGAGUAACACGUGAGUAACCUGCCCUUGACUUUGGGAUAACUUCAGGAAACUGGGGCUAAUACCGGAUAGGAGCUCCUGCUGCAUGGUGGGGGUUUGAAAGUUUCGGCGGUUGGGGAUGGACUCGCGGCUUAUCAGCUUGUUGGUGGGGUAGUGGCUUACCAAGGCUUUGACGGGUAGCCGGCCUGAGAGGGUGACCGGCCACAGUGGGAAUGAGAUACGGCCCAGACUCCUACGGGAGGCAGCAGUGGGGAAUAUUGCACAAUGGGCGGAAGCCUGAUGCAGCAACGCCGCGUGCGGGAUGACGGCCUUCGGGUUGUAAACCGCUUUCGCCUGUGACGAAGCGUGAGUGACGGUAAUGGGUAAAGAAGCACCGGCUAACUACGUG
rnacentral:rRNA from 1 species